rnacentral:lncRNA from 1 species
CUGAUUGCCUGGAAUGAAUGAGUACUUCUCUAUAAAAUAAUCAGUUUGACUGUUCUCACACCAAAUCAGUGGAAGGCAAAUCCUUUGAGAGAUCUGAAGGCAAAACCUCUUCCUUUCAGGAGAGAAGCCUUUCAAAACAUUAUUGUUAACGUUACAUGUUGUGACCAAUGUAUGGUGACAAGCAAGGGACAAGAACAGGACAAGAAGGGGAAGGAUGUUCAAGAUCAACUGCCUUCUAGCACUGGUUGACUACAUCCUUUGGUUUCAAUUUGACCCUGCAUAGCACCACUAUGAAGAUUCAUACCUCAUCUUUAGG